rnacentral:rRNA from 1 species
UGACACAGGGAGGUAGUGACAAGAAAUAACAAUACAGGGCUUUCGUCUUGUAAUUGGAAUGAUGGUGAUGUACAACCUCACCAGAGUACCAAUUGGAGGGCAAGUCUGGUGCCAGCAGCCGCGGUAAUUCCAGCUCCAAUAGCGUAUAUUAAACUUGUUGCAGUUAAAAAGCUCGUAGUUGUAUUUCAGCCUCGCGUUUUUUCCCUGGUUUUGGGUCUUUUCGCUGGCUUUUUUUUUACUUUGAGAAAAUUAGAGUGUUUCAAGCAGACUUUUGUCUUGAAUACUUCAGCAUGGAAUAAUAGAGUAGGACCUUGGUUCUAUUUUGUUGGUUUUGAGCCUUGGUAAUGGUUAAUAGGAACGGUUGGGGGCAUUCGUAUUUAA